AGUAUCAUUGAUUUAUGUUAUUGGGUAUUGUUUUCGUCAGUUUUACAGUAUUUUGCAGUCAAAUAUAUUACGAAAAUAUUUUUUUUCAAAGCUAAACGUCUCCUGGCAUUAUUACUUUCAAAAUUAUGCCUGGAAGUAUUCUUAAUUCACAAACACAACAAUUUGUGUUGAACUUGUGCAAAUAUUUUGAAAGGGAGAGAGCGCAUGGAGGACCUUUGUUACCAUUUUCAUCUGUUCAAGAGAGAGUUGCAGAUGCACUUGAAAUAUCUCAAAAAACGGUGUUCAACAUCAAACAAAGAAAUAAACACAAACCCAUUACAUCAUUUCCAGAAAAAAGUAGUCAUCGUAUCAAAAAGAAAACAUCUGAUUUACCUGAAGGGCAGAAAAUGGAAGUACGAAAUACUCUGUACGAUAUGUAUAAAGACAGUACCUGCGUUUUCUGGUGGUGCAACAUCAUGGAGUGUGGGCUGCUGAUAUACUGCCCGCUGCAGAGGUGACGAAGGUAAUCCAGUAUUACCUUCCGCCAUAACAUGUGGAAGUUGUAAAUUGUUACCUUGUUCAACUUUUGAAGCAUUUCCUUAAAAAAGCCUACCAGCGCCUUCUCUGCCACCCUGUGAUGUCUGUUGCUGGUUGUCGUGAAGAGAUGAAUGUUGUCCUUUGCUCUGGAGUUGAUAUGGUGGUGUUUUCUCCAGAACCAUAUUGGCCAGGAACCAAAACUAUCGGGCCUCGAGAUGGAGCUAAGAUGUAAAAGAUCGGUUGUAUAUUCUCAGGGUCGACGCGAUUACCGAGGAUUUGUGGGUUCUUGAAAUGAAAGUCUUUGGAUUUCCUUAGCCACUGUCUGUUUAUUCAACCAGCUGAGUUAUUCCGGAACUUUAGAUUGAUAAAGGAAACAGUAUUCACAAAAAAUACAUAUUUUUACAAAUGGAAAACACAAUUGCCACAAUACAAAUUUCAUAUGAAAAAAUUUGGGAAAUUACAAGAUUACAUAAUUUGGUUAACGUAGCUACAAAAAAUACGGGUACAAGCCAGAAUCUUCAAGAUUUUGCUAUAUUUAUACCAGAGGUGUUUCUGUAUGAGAAAUCAGCACUAAAAAGCACUCGUAGAAUCAGAUAAUUCCGUUCUGGUAUUCAACUAGUUUUUGCAAUUCGAACUUAAAAUCAUUUUUCCACCAGAGUAGAAUACGUGGCACCCUCUAUCAAUGAGAGCAUCAGAAGCGCAGUACCAGCGUAAAGGAAAUAAUUUUCUUUUGCAAUCACAAUCACACAUCAGUCGAACUAGGCAAUCAUAAAUAUAUGAAACAUUUAUAGACCGGUUAUACUUCCGGCUAGAGCAAUAUAAAAAAGAUCUGCUACACUUUUCGCCUUCAUUGUUGUAGUAACGAGCCAAGCUGCAGCUUUUUUCCCAAAUUCAGCGUCUUUCGAUUCAACGCGUUCCGAAGCUUCAUUUUCCAACAUUUUAUCAACUCCGUGACGAUGUUAUGAAGAGCUGUUUUGAGAGUAUGCAAUAUCGUGUUCUCUACAGGCCUCGUCUAAUGGAUUUACACCGGUUUCACCUAGUGAAAGACGUUCUCGUAGUUUCGUACCGGAACCGCAAUAUUGAUAGCCUGGUAAGUGUAAUUCGCAUGGCAGCUUAUUACUAUUAGCGUAUUGACGAAACCUUCUCCGCGAUAAGUCAACAUGAGGAAUGAUGGAUGACGUCAAUGCGCACGCUACAUAUCAAAG